GUGCCGCAGCUCUGCUUUGACUUCCAGCUGCAGCGGGACUUUCAAGAAUCAUGCUAAGCAAUCUGUUCUUCUGUGCGUCCCUGCAGACCUGAAUGCCUUUUCUGCAUAGAAGACUAGAGUAUGGGUCUGUGAGGGAAUUUUUGCCCACAAAAUUGAAAAGGCUGUAUUAUUCCCUCCUUAGUGAGGACAAAUGAAUGAAGAACUUGGAAUUUCUCUGGGGAUGAAGCUUGGGAAAAAAUUUGGUGCAACAUAAAGUGCACUUCACCUUCACCUAACUGUUACCUAACACAAAACAAAGUAUUGAGUAGAUUCUAUUAGACAAG